rnacentral:lncRNA from 1 species
GUCUGCUUCCCAACCAUCAGUUGACCCAAGGCGCAGGCCUCUGCAGCUCCAGCUUGAGUCACCCAACUGGCCCUGCCCAGGACUGAUCCAUCCUCAGGAAUGGUUCUGACGACAGAAGACUGUCCAGGAAGGCUGGCUCACCCCAGCUCUCCCGUACCUGCUCCUUAGCUCGUGUGUGUAUAUGACAGGGUGACUGGGGUGGGGUCUCUCACCAGCGGGCUGUGGGGGCCCUCGAGGCAGGUCCAGCUCUGGUGGGUGGCUGCUCCGCGUGAUGAUGACCGGCUCCUCCGUCACGUUGAUGCUGUUACACUGCAUGAGGUCCUGCAGCAGGUUGAAGAUGUCCUCUGCCCUCGAACACUUGAAUGCAAAGAUGCCUGGGGAAGCUCCAGUACAGGGUAACUGAAGUUUGUAUAAACAGGACGAGAAAGACGGCACGAUAUGUGAAAGCUGGACAAGACCAGAAGGACAGAAGUGGUGAUACGUGGCUGUAAUCCCACACUUGGGAGGGAUGAGGUGCAUGCCAGGAAAGGCCCUUCAGCAAUCAACCCGGAACACGCAUUGCUUUGUGCUGUCUCGGGAGAGACAGCUCUGUCUGCGUGCAGCACAGUCCCAAGAAGGACUCCUCGUGCUGAGCAUGUGUGGACCUAAGAAGCAAGGCCAGACCUCAUGUCCCAACCUCAAGCUCAUGAGCAGCCUGCCAGCCCCUGAGCCCUGCCUGUAGAGGGCACAUGGGCAGGGGAUACAGUAUACUCCACUGCCCACAGGUGAAGGUGGACAAAGGUCAGGCUCUGGAAGGUUACGCUGUAUAUGAGAGACCCAAAAUCCUGCUGCCCAAGUCUCUGUGCAAGCUCCUCAGCCCUGAGUAGCCAUUCUCCUGCCUGACUUCUCUUCCACUGUGCACGGAGGCCAGUGUGUAGGGCCUGGCAGCUCAGGAGGGGUUUUCCUAUGCAAAGGCAAUAAAGACCUUGGAACCAUGGCAA